UGAGAGUUUGACCCUGGCUCAGGAUGAACGCUGGCGACGUGGAUAAGGCAUGCAAGUCGAAUGGGUUUAGACCCAUGGCAGACGGGUUAGUAAUGCGUAGGAAUGUACCCUUGUGUCGUGAAUAAUUCGCCGAAAGGCGAGAUAAUACACGAUGGUCUCUUCGGAGUAAAGUCUCGAGCAAUCGAGUUCGCACAAGGAGCAGCCUGCGUCCUAUCAGCUAGUUGGUAAGGUAAUGGCUUACCAAGGCAAUGACGGGUAGGGGGCGUGAGAGCGUGACCCCCAACAUUGGAACUGAGACACUGUCCAAACACCUACGGGUGGCUGCAGUCGAGAAUCUUCGGCAAUGGGCGAAAGCCUGACCGAGCGACGUCGCGUGGAGGAUGAAGGCCCUCGGGUCGUAAACUCCUUUUCUAUCAGAAGAAGCCGUACAUGGCACAGAAUUUCCAAUUUUUUGGGACUUCUGUGUUGUGUGCGGAUUGACGGUAUGAUAGGAAUAAGAGGUUGCUAACUCUGUGCCAGCAGCAGCGGUAAUACAGAGACCUCAAGCGUUAUCCGGAUUUAUUGGGCGUAAAGAGUGGGUAGGUGGGAAUAAUAGUCAGGUGUUAAAUCAUCGAGCUCAACUCGGUGGCUGCACUUGAAACGUUAUUUCUAGAAGCAGGUAGAGGCUGACGGAACUCAUGGUGUAGCAGUAAAAUGCAUUGAUAUCAUGGGGAACACCAAAGGCGAAGGCAGUCAGCUGGGCCUUGCUUGACACUGAGCCACGAAAGCGUGGGUAGCGAAUGGGAUUAGAUACCCCAGUAGUCCACGCCCUAAACGUUGCACAUUCGACAUUGGGAGUUUCGACCCUUUCAGUGUCUAAGCUAACGCGUUAAAUGUGCCGCCUGGGAAGUACGGCCGCAAGGCUAAAACUCAAAGGGAUAGACGGGGAUCCGCACAAGCGGUGGAGCAUGUGGUUUAAUUCGACGAUAAGCGAGGAACCUUACCAAGGCUAGAAAUCCAGCUGCAUUCCGGCAGAAACGUCGGAAGCCUUCGAGGGUGCUGGACAGGUGUUGCAUGGUUGUCGUCAGCUCGUGCCGUAGGGUGUUCCAUUAAGUUGGGUAACGAGCGCAACCCUUACUGUGUGUUACAAGUGUCACACGGGACUGCCCCGCACUAAGCGCACUUCGAGUGCAAUUUUAAAUUUCAAAUUUAGAAUUAGCAUAAAAUGAAGUGAAGCGCGUUUGGUGCGGGGAGGAAGGUGGGGAUGACGUCAAAUCAGCAUGGCCCUUGACGCCUUGGGCUACACACGUGCUACAAUGGCUGGUCACAAUGGGUCGCGAAGCGGUAACGCGGAGCCAAUCCCAGAAAACCAGUCUCAGUUCGGAUUGAGGGCUGCAAUUCGCCCUCAUGAAGCCGGAAUCGCUAGUAAUCCCGAAUCAGCCAUGUCGGGGUGAAUACGUUCUCGGAUCUUGUACUCACCGCCCGUCACACCAAAGGAGCCGGUAGUACCUUAAGCGCCUCUUCGGGGGUACCACGGUAAGAUCGGUAACAAGGGUGAAGUCGUAACAAGGCAUCCGUAGCGGAAGCUGUGGAUGGAUCACCUCCUUUCUA
rnacentral:rRNA from 1 species